rnacentral:rRNA from 1 species
AACGAACGCUGGCGGCAGGCCUAACACAUGCAAGUCGAACGCCCCGCAAGGGGAGUGGCCGACGGGUGAGUACCGCGUGGGAACAUACCCUUUUCUACGGAAUAGCUCUGGGAAACUGGAAUUAAUACCGUAUACGCCCUACGGGGGAAAGAUUUAUCGGGGAAGGAUUGGCCCGCGUUGGAUUAGCUAGUUGGUGGGGUAAAGGCCUACCAAGGCGACGAUCCAUAGCUGGUCUGAGAGGAUGAUCAGCCACAUUGGGACUGAGACACGGCCCAAACUCCUACGGGAGGCAGCAGUGGGGAAUAUUGGACAAUGGGCGCAAGCCUGAUCCAGCCAUGCCGCGUGAGUGAUGAAGGCCUUAGGGUUGUAAAGCUCUUUCACCGAUGAAGAUAAUGACGGUAGUCGGAGAAGAAGCCCCGGCUAACUUCGUG